rnacentral:lncRNA from 1 species
UAUCCUGGGCCCAGACAUGGCCCAUAAAGAGUUGGUCCCUUGAGGCCCACAUAACCUAGACCUCAAGAACCCGAAAGGCCCACAGCCUUUCAACUUAGGGCCCAACUAGCCCUAGAGCCUCCAUGAAGCCCUCAUGAAUGAUGGACCUUGGCCUUAGCCUUGGUCCCCUGGGCCUCGGGCACACCACCUGGAUCAUAAC